CCCGGGCGCAGCAGUAGGGAAUUUUCGUCAAUGGGCGCAAGCCUGAACGAGCAAUGCCGCGUGAACGAGGAAGGUCUUCGGAUCGUAAAGUUCUGUUGAAGGGGAAAAAGAGCGGAGAGAGGAAAUGGUCUCCGAUUGAUAUUACCCUUCGAGGAAGUCACGGCUAACUACGUGCCAGCAGCCGCGGUAAUACGGAGGAUGCGAGCGUUAUCCGGAUUUAUUGGGUUUAAAGGGUGCGCAGGCGGACCAUCAAGUCAGCGGUAAAAUCGUGGGGCCCAACCCCAUCCCGCCGUUGAAACUGGCGG
rnacentral:rRNA from 1 species